AAACUUCACUUGCAUUCAGAAAGCGCCAGCUAUAAUGGUAAAAUGAAGGCACCUGUAUAUUCAGUGGGAUAUGGUUAUUUCUGUAUCUUGUUCGGAAAUGUUUAUACAUUGAGUUGUUUAGGAAAAGAUGGAAACUAUGAAUGUUGCAGAGGGUACAUGUGGAAUAAGACCACCGGAGAUUGCGAUACAAAGUGCCUCCCGGGCUUCUAUGGAGUUAACUGCAGCAAGAGUUGUGUGGCCGGUCGGUACGGGGAGGGGUGUCAAUCCGUGUGCACGGAGUGUUCUAACCGGACGUGCAAUGUGUCCUACGGCUGUCCUCACCCAACCACUACAGCCCAGGAGUUGAAUACAGUAACUAUGAAGCAAUUGCCUCAGCAAAAUCUUCAAAAUGACGCUGCAUCGCAAGACACAGAGACAUGGCUGUACAUAGUUGCGGGGGUUUCUAUUGCAAGUUUUGUGAUGGCUUUGUUGAAUAUCAUUAUAAGCAGCUGGAGGAGAUGUAAUGUGAACAUCACCUCAUCUCAACCAACUGGAAUGGAAAACGAGAAGAAGAGCUACCAAACCUUAAUGAAAAACACAAUCUACACCGGGCCGGCGCAUGUUGUCAUGAACGCGGACACCGUGGAGCGAAACUUCUCCGUGGUGAUGACAACAGCGUCAUGUGACAACAUGUCUACAUUCCCGGAUGCUACUGAACCGAAAUCUGUAGAAGAGAAAAGAAAACAACCAAACGGAACAGUUGAGAUCUAUGAGUCAUUGAAAUAGAGAAAAAAGUUAUAUGCUUUUAACAACAACAAAAAAAAAAACAUUUUUUUUCAAAUAGACACUGAAAAAGUGUAAUUUAUGAAAUGUAUGUGAAAUUCUUAUACUUAUGAAGAUUCAUUGGAUUUUUCCUUGGGUGUUUUGAUGUAGGAAUUUAUUCUAUUAAUCUAUGUUGGUAUGGAUUGCGCUCUCAUUAAACAUCUGUGACAUAAAUUUGCAGUGCUAAGUGACAUCUUUAUAACGGCAUGUUUCUUUCAUCAACUUUAUCUGCUCUUUUGUAAUGUUAUUGUAAAAUUGUAAUAUUUGAUGAUAUGAUAAAGAUGUAUUUUAUAACUCCUUACAAAAAAAAAAUUAAAAACAUUUUUACGAUAAUAAGGACACUAACAACAUACAAAUUGAAUAUUUAUUUUAUGAGUAUUUGUAUAAAGUGGUGACAAGAUGGAACAAUCGUCAACAAUAGAUUUAAUUGAUAUUUAAAUCGAUAACCAGGAAAUAUUUGUAAAUAUUUCAUUAAAUGAAUAUUUCAAUAUGAAAAAAACCGCUUAAAUAAAAAUUUAAAAUACAGAUAGAUCAGUAUGAUAAUCUAUCUGCACGGCCUGGUGUGUUAUAUGACCAGCGAUAUUCUAAAAAGCAUUAAAUGCUUAAUAUUUAUACUUUUUGUGCAUAAAUACAAUAUUAUUUUUAAAUUCAGGACAUCAACAAACAUCAUGGCGGUAUUGAGAAUCAGCUGAUAAAAAGGCAGUUACAUGUACGGACUCAGAAUUGGUAUAAUGAUGUCACCUAUUACAAUACUAGUUAUUGAAAGCUGAUUUUUUUAACGAUAUAUCUUAUCAUUAUUGUCAAUAAUAUGACUAAUAUAAUAAAUUACUUUGAAAAAGAUUUGUCAAUAAUAUGACUAAUAUAAUAAAUUACUUUGAAAAAGAUUUGACAGAUGUAUCCCAACCUGUAAGCAAAUACCGGUAUUAAAUGAAGUUAAUAUGUAAUUAUGUAGAGUUUUGUUGAUCAGAAAGAGCACUUUGUCUUUUGAUUUAUAUGCUUGUGUAUCUCGGGUCAUAAUUUCAGCCAUUAUAAUGUAUAAUAUAGAACAUCACUCUGUGUUAUCUCUAAUUGAGUAGAAAAGGCGUCCUGAGGUUUCAGAACUUGUGUCCAAUUCUUAUGUUCACAUCAACAAACAAUAGAAUAUGUUUAAUUCAAAUCGAAUUUCUAAUUAGUAUAUUUGUUCUUGGGAUUUGGAGAUGCAUCAAGUUAAUCGAAAAAAAUAGUGUGUGUUUUCAAACACAAUUUAGAAUCAAUUUUAUUUAUCCCACGCAAUGUAUUGUUUCCUGGAUCAAUUCUAAAUUUCAAUUUUAUACUGACAUUUGACGUUAAAAAACGUUAAAAAGACCCUGCAAAUGACAGGUUUUUUCCCCCCUUAAAUGUUUGUGAAAGUGGUUUUAUUGUGGUUUUUGUUCUUUUUUAUUUCUUUUUUUAUAUACAUUUUUCAUACAUUGUAGUUUGCAUAUUUUGUUCAUUAUUAUAUCACAUUAUAUAUCAUAUAUUCGUUAUCUAAAUUAAAUACGCAUUUUAUUU
rnacentral:misc_RNA from 1 species